rnacentral:RNase_P_RNA from 1 species
GACGGUCGCGGGUCCCUUCGGGGAUCCGAGGAAAGUCCGAGCUCCCAGGGCAGGCUGCCAGGUAACGCCUGGGCGCCGUGAGGCGACGGAUAGGGCCACAGAGAACAGACCGCCUGCCGCAAGGCAGGUAAGGGUGAAACGGUGGGGUAAGAGCCCACCGCGCGUCUGGCAACAGACGUGGCACGGCAACCCCCAGCCGGAGCAAGGCCAAAUAGGCGGCGAGGUCCGGCCCGGACCGACCACACCGGAAACGGUGAGCCGCGGGUAGGCUGCACGAGGUGGCGGGCGACCGCCAUCCCAGAGAGAUGACCGUC